AGCGAACGCUGGCGGCAGGCCUAACACAUGCAAGUCGAACGAACCUUUCGGGGUUAGUGGCGGACGGGUGAGUAACACGUGGGAACGUGCCUUUAGGUUCGGAAUAACUCAGGGAAACUUGUGCUAAUACCGAAUGUGCCCUUCGGGGGAAAGAUUAAUCGCCUUUAGAGCGGCCCGCGUCUGAUUAGCUAGUUGGUUGAGGUAAUGGCUCACCAAGGCGACGAUCAGUAGCUGGUCUGAGAGGAUGAUCAGCCACAUUGGGACUGAGACACGGCCCAAACCCCCCCGGAAGGCCGAAGUGGGGAAUUUUGGGAAAUGGGCGAAAGCCUGACGGAGCCAUGCCGGGGGAAUGAAGAAGGUCUUAGGAUUGAAAAAUUCUUUCACCGGGGACGAUAAUGACGGUACCCGGAGAAGAAACCCCGGCUAACUUCGU
rnacentral:rRNA from 1 species